GCUGGGCAUGGUGGCGCACGCCUUUAAUCCCAGCACUCUGGAGGCAGAGGUAGGAGGUUCCCUGUGAGUUCGAGGCCACCCUGAGACUACAUAGUGGAUUCCAGGUCAGCCUGGGCUAGAGUGAGACCCUACCUCGAAAAACAAAAAGUACUCUGGUCUGGAAUUUACUAUGUAGUCUCAGGGUGGCCUCAAACUCAUGGCAGUCCUCCUACCUCU
rnacentral:sRNA from 1 species